rnacentral:piRNA from 1 species
GGAGCGCAUCUCUACGGUGAAGUGUG